UAUAUAUAUAUAAUCACACAUAUAUAUAUAUAUAUAUACAUACAUAUAUCGUGAAAAAGAAAUGGUGUAUUAACGGUUUUUGACGUUAACUUGCAUUUUAUAAGUACAAAUACAAAAGCAUACACAUGUGUGUAUGUGUGAGUAUAUGUGUGUUCUUUCUGUGUCGAUAAAAUAUAUUAUAUAUUUAAUAAUAAUAAUCGUAUAUGAAAUCAAGUUGUUUCUGGACUAUCAUAGAAUGACUAUUUUGUUAGUGACGCGAUCGCUCUUUUUUAUGAUUGAAUUCGGCUCGGUUGCCGAAGGUAACCGAAGGUGACUUCGGCUUCGCGUCAGCUAUCCACAUAGAAAAUGGAGUUUGAGCGGAGCGAGCGAAGCAGCUAUUUUCUACCGUCAAUGGGUGCAGAGGAAGAGUUCUGAGUCGAGUGUGCUUUCCUGUGUUCCUCUUGUGUAUUAUCGAUCAGUCAACAUUUUUAUGUUUGAUUCUGGGAGACAUUGCGUCUGGAAUUAACUGAUAACAAUUAAAAACUAAUAAAAGAACAAUGUCUGCCACUGCUCAAGAUGAUCGUUCCAUGAAAGCCAAUCAGAUUAACAAGAAAGAUAAUGAAAAAUCUCGAAAAGUCUUCAGUUCUUCACAUAAAAAGCACAAGCACGAAGAUAGUCGUCAUUUUAAAUUUGGACGGAAGCGAUUACAAAGUUUUACCAAUAAUACUAAAUUUUUUCCACCGUACAAACGUAGAAAGAAGGAGGGUAUUAUCAUACCACCGACUAAAUUUCUGUUGGGUGGUAAUAUAUGUGAUCCGUUAAAUUUAAAUAGUAUGCAAGACGAAGAAGUGAAUAGAGCUAUGAAUGCAGUUACUCCAAAAUCGAGUCCUUUACCGACGCCUAAGCACAAAAAAGAAGCAAUUGAAGUUAUAAUUCCACCAAAUAUUUGUGAUCCUCUUAAUUUAAGCAAUUGUAAUGAUAAUGAGGAAUAUGAAAAACAACUUAUUUCCCCAACAAAAAAAGGCUCCAAACGACGUAACAAAAAGCGAAAACGUGCUUCUUCAGGCUCUGGGAAAGAUGAUGCAAAGGAAGUCCAGGAAAUAGAGAUGAAAGAUAACGAUAUUAUAAAUUCUGUAGAGUCGAAUGGUAGUAGUGCCUCGGAAAGAGUUACAUCUUUGUCAGAAGACAUUGCUUCUGAUUCUCCACCAGAAAACCAAGUUAAAGAAUGUAAAUUGGAAAGUCCAAAUAAGGAAAAAGUUAAAUUACGUUUAAAAAUAUUGGACGACCUUAAAGAUAAGCGAUUAAGGAAGCUGGAUGUGAAAGAUAAGAUAGUGAGUCCAGUUAUUCCUCAACCUGGUGCAUGGAAGCCUAGACCACAACAUCGUCCUAGCCAAGAUAAAAAGAAAAAACAACAACCGUUACCAAAUUUUAAAGAAAAGGAUGCCCGUUAUCAGUAUGGUAAUUACAAUAAAUAUUAUGGAUACCGUAAUCCACAUCAUGUUGUGGAUACAAGAUUGACCGUAUUUGCUCAACGUAAACACUUAUUUUUGGGGAAAGACAUUCUUGACAUAGGCUGCAAUAUUGGACAUAUUACUUUAUCAGUUGCGAGAGAUUUAAUGGCACGAAGCGUGACAGGUAUCGAUAUUGAUAGAAUGCUUAUUAAAAUUGCACGCAAGAAUGUUAAACAUUAUGUGAACUGCGUUCAGUCACCUGCAAGCAACGAGGACAAUGGAGAAGGGCAAAGAGAUUCAGAUACGAACUUUUUUCCUAUGUCUAUGCCAAUUAAUUACGGACCCAUUGACAUUCCUGGUUUCACUAAAAAUAAAAAUCAUAGAGGUUUUCCUUAUAACGUUACUUUUGUACAGGGAAAUUAUGUAUUAGAAGACGAUGCCCUCUUAUGCUUGGAACAACCUCAGUUUGAUACAAUUCUUUGUUUAUCCAUUACCAAAUGGAUACAUUUAAAUUACGGAGAUGCUGGAUUAAAACGAGCUUUCAAACGUAUGUAUGCACAAUUAUGUCCGGGUGGUGUAUUAGUAUUGGAGCCACAAGGAUGGGGUAGUUAUGGUAGAAAAAAGAAUCUCACGGAACGAAUAUAUAAAAAUUAUCAGAGUAUUGAAUUCUUUCCUAACAAGUUUACACAGUAUUUACUUUCUCCCGAAGUAGGCUUUAGUAAAUGCGAAGUUGUAUCUAUUCCUCCACAUCCGUCGAAAGGAUUUCAAAGACCUAUUCAAUUAUUCACCAAAGUUGCCUCUAUUACAGAAAACACAGAGAAUUUGGAAAAUGUAAAUACUUCCAUAUCGAACGUGUCUAUCGAAAAUACUCAAGUACGACACGAAAGGAGGGAUGAACAAAAGGAUUUAGAACGUAGACAAUACGAACGAGAUCUUUUUCCAAAAGAUAAUAAAGAAGGCAACAUGUCAGAGAUCAGUCAACAAAGUGGAGAAUCAAUAAAUCAGUAUGAUCAAUUAGAAAAUGUUUAUGCGCCUAGUGCUACACCAUGUUACGAUACACCUGGUCAUAAUAACGACAAUAGUCAACCUAUGGAAAUGUCAAAGAUGUGUUAUGUCGAUGUAAAUAUCGAACAUCAUAAAGUCGAUGUAGAAAUGCAAGAUGUUAAUAGCAAACAAACAAAAGAAUCUACAUUGCAAGUAUUAUAUGCUAAUAAAUCUAACAGUGAACAUACCGUAAAAGAAAUCCAAAAAGUUAUAGAAUACUCGGAUAAUAAGGACGACGGGAUGAUUAAUAAUAAAAUUGGAGUAAAACGACUGGCCGAUGAUAAAAAAGUAAUUGACGAGGAUACUAAGAAUUUGAAAAAGACACCUGGAACAUUGAGAAUUAAUGAGAAUAAAAACAAGAUAUACAAAGAACAGGUUGAACCAUUACAGAAUACAAAUGUUAUUAAAGACAAGUGUACUAUCGAGAAAAUUAAUUUUAGGAACUUAGAGAAAACUAAUGAAGUAUCCAGACUGUAUGUGCAGUCUUCCAAAAAGUCAUUCCAUAAUUUGGAUGGUGUUCAAGUCUCGAGCAAUACAUCGAACAAUGAAGGAUCUUUAGAAACCCAAUUGUCGAGUAAAUCUGACUUCCAUCAAGAUAAAAGGAAUGUUACAACUAAAGAUGUCAAUGAUAAAUCGGCAAACGAAAAUCAGCAGGUACGGACAUGUCCGUAAACUUGUUUACAAGAUUGAGUAAAGAAACAAUUGUAUGAAUGUUAUUAGAACAAGAAGACAUAAAUCAUUAUUAAUUUUAGUUGAUUACGUUUAAUGUACAAAAUAAUGCCAAAGUAGCGGACACUGUAACUCGGAUAUACCAUCUUGGAGAUCAACUUGGAAAUAAUAAUUCAGUGCAGAAACAAUAACUAAGGAAAUUCAUUGAGAUUUGUAUUCUUCUACUUUGAAAGAGAUAAUAUGAAGAAUCAAUUGUUUGGAAUAUAAAUCAAGACGAAGAAACUAAUUUCAAUCUAGAAUCCUUGAAAUCAUGGAUUGGAUUGGAUUCUCUGCGGCUUUAAAAUGAUGAAACUUUUAGUGCGAUCAAACUUAUCGUUCCAUAAGUCUUAUUUAUUUAUUAUUUGUAGUACUAUUAAUGAAAAGUCCUUUGUGCAUUUCUUUAAUGAAUCGGUUUUACAAAGCUGUCAAAGGGGAAUUAAGCUUGUGUAGCAGUAUUUCCUCCAUCAUUUGUUAUAUAUAUAUUUAUAUAUAU